GUAGGGGGUGUGAGAGCAUGGCCCCCCACAAUGGGACUGGAACACGGCCCAUACUCCUACGGGAGGCAGCAGCAGGGAAUAUUGCACAAUGGACGGAAGUCUGAUGCAGCGACGCCGCGUGGAUGAAGAAGGCCCUCGGGUUGUAAAAUCCUUUACAGGGGGAAGAGGAAGGACGGUACCCCUGGAACAAGUGUCGGCUAACUACGUGCCAGCAGCCGCGGUAAGACGUAGGACACAAGCGUUAUCCGGAUUUACUGGGCGUAAAGCGUCUGCAGGCGGACAGGUAAGUUGGGCGUGAAAGCUCCGGGCCCAACCCGGAGAGGUCGUUCAAUACUGCGUGUCUAGAGGGUGUCAGAGGGGAGUGGAAUUACCGGAGUAGCGGUAAAAUGCGCAGAGAUCGGAGAGAACACCAAUGGCGAAGGCAGCUCCCUGGGGCAACCCUGACGCUAAGAGACGAAAGCUAGGGGAACGAACAGGAUUAGAGACCCUGGUAGUCCUAGCCCUAAACGAUGGAUGCUGGAUGUGGGGCCAUAGCGCUCCGUGUCGAAGCGAACGCGCUAAGCAUCCCGCCUGGGGACUACGGCCGCAAGGUUAAAACUCAAACGAAUUGACGGGACCCCGCACAAGCAGCGGAGCGUGUGGUUUAAUUCGAUGCUACACGAAGAACCUUACCUGGGUUUGACAUCUAGGUGGUAGUGAAGCGAAAGCGGAGCGACCCUUCGGGGAGCCUAGACAGGUGCUGCAUGGCUGUCGUCAGCUCGUGCCGUGAGUUGUCGGGUUAAGUCCACGUAACGAGCGCAACCCUUGCCCUCCGUUAUACGUGUCAGAGGGGACUGCCGGCGGUAAGCCGGAGGAAGGUGGGGAUGACGUCAAGUCAUCAUGGCCUUUAUGCCCAGGGCUACACACGUGCUACAAUGACUAGUACAAAGAGCAGCUAGACCGCAAGGUUCUGCUAAUCUCAAAAAGCUAGUCUCAGUUCGGAUUGGAGUCUGCAACUCGACUCCAUGAAGUUGGAAUCGCUAGUAAUC
rnacentral:rRNA from 1 species